GUAUUGAUAGCUCUGUGAUUAAGCUUGGCCCUGGAAUGAUUUAACAUAGUUCUUCGACUCCUAGCUCUGACAUUGUUAAUAUAUCUAUUUGAACAGGUUUGCGGUUUUCCUAGGAUAAACGUUGAUCAUUUAAUCACAGGCAAAGUUAAGAAAAGAAAAAUGAUUAUAGAAUAUUAAGAGCAUUUGAUACUAAAGAUUUUUCCUAUUUCUGUCAAGCCAAUUAUGAUCUCUAUGUAGAAUCAAGAGAAAUUAAUUUCUUUGGGAUAUAAUUAUGGCAUUUCAAUCCAAGAUUGGGAGUUUGGAAUUCUUUUGAAGGAUACCAAAAGAACUUACUACGUGUGGUAAAUAGAAAGGAUUAAGUUUUGAGAUGCUGUGAUUUUUGUAUGUCAAAAUCUUGUGAGUAGGUACUCCGAGAGGGAGACUACUUGAGAUCUCGGGGAUGAUAUAAUGGAUGCAUAUUUUUAAAGUUUGAGGCUUCAAGUAAGUUAAUUUCGAGGACGAAAUUUUUUUAAGGGGGAGAGUAUGUAAUACCCCCCCCCCCAAAAAAAAGAGGGGUGGAUGGGCCGGCCCGAAAAGACCGGGCCCAUCCACCAUUUACGAUCGUGCCUAGGGCACGAUCGUGGGAGGAGUAACACCACAAAAAAAAAAGGGGAGGGGGAGAGCGGCGGCGGCGGCGGCAGCGUCCGGGGAGAGGCGANN
rnacentral:lncRNA from 1 species